UACAGAGGGUGCGAGCGUUAAUCGGAAUUAUUGGGCGUAAAGGGUGCGUAGGUGGUUUAAUAAGUUUGGCGUGAAAUUCCAGGGCUUAACCUUGGGGCUGCGUUGAGUACUGUUGAGCUAGAGUAUGGGAGAGGCAAGUGGAAUUUCCGGUGUAGCGGUGAAAUGCGUAGAUAUCGGAAGGAACAUCGGUGGCGAAGGCGGCUUGCUGGAUUGAUACUGACACUGAGGCACGAAAGCGUGGGGAGCAAACAGGAUUAGAAACCCCUGUAGU
rnacentral:rRNA from 1 species